rnacentral:rRNA from 1 species
GACGAACGCUGGCGGCGUGCCUAAUACAUGCAAGUAGAACGCACAGUUUAUACCGUAGCUUGCUACACCAUAAACUGUGAGUUGCGAACGGGUGAGUAACGCGUAGGUAACCUGCCUGGUAGCGGGGGAUAACUAUUGGAAACGAUAGCUAAUACCGCAUAAUAUUGAUUAUUGCAUGAUAAUUGAUUGAAAGAUGCUAUUGCAUCACUACCAGAUGGACCUGCGUUGUAUUAGCUAGUAGGUGAGGUAACGGCUCACCUAGGCGACGAUACAUAGCCGACCUGAGAGGGUGAUCGGCCACACUGGGACUGAGACACGGCCCAGACUCCUACGGGAGGCAGCAGUAGGGAAUCUUCGGCAAUGGACGAAAGUCUGACCGAGCAACGCCGCGUGAGUGAAGAAGGUUUUCGGAUCGUAAAGCUCUGUUGUAAGAGAAGAACGGGUGUGAGAGUGGAAAGU